rnacentral:tRNA from 1 species
CUGGAUGUAGGGUAGAGGCCACCCACUUGCCUUGGGAGCAAGUCCACGCAGGUUCGACUCCUGCCAUCCAGACCA